rnacentral:tRNA from 1 species
AGUGUAAUAUAGAGGUUAAAAUCCCCUCGUCUCCUU